UGCAGAGGAAGACUGGUCCAGACUAGUAGCACUAUCUCCUCUCUUCCAGCUGAUGAAGGAAGUGGAGCAACAGCUCAGGGAUAGUGCCAGAGAAAGAGGCCUUCUCCAGCCUUCAGGUGCAGGCCAGUCAUUCAUGGAUUUCAUGGAUGCCCAGUGGGAGUGUGAGGGAGAGCUGAUUCAAGUGAGCUCUGAAACCCUCAACCCACGACAGCUUCUGCUCUACCAGCAUGGACAGUUUCUCCUCCAGCACCUUCACUUACAUAAAAUGAUACCAGCAGUAACCCUUCAACUGGCUUCUACUCUUCCUUUCAACGACUACCAUAACAAUGCUUUCCGCAACUCUUUCUAUUAUCAGGUAUCUAGGCGCUUAGGCAUGUUUGUAUUGAACCAGCUAUAAAAAGAAAGAAAAGUUAUUAAUAAUUUACCAGACUUUGAGAAGUGAUAAUUAGCACCACAUUCUCUGUGAUAUAAUUGGUCUCAUGGCUAGUUCGGUUGCACUAAGGUUAAAUGCCCUCAUUUGUCAGUCACUGGGUGAGUGAUAAUUAAUUCAUGUUAAGCAUACUUAGUGCUCUGUCAUACAAACCCCUGUGCACUUAGCAGUUCCUAUGUUUUCAGGAGGGACAGAAGACUCUGUUUGUUCGCAGUCAGAGAUUGCAAUCAGUGGGUGGCCUCUCUCUGCUGCUAAUGCACUGUGCUGCACACAUUUCCACCGGCCAGAUGAGGACCGACACCAUUCCUGCCUUUCAAAGAGCCUUCUACAAGGUUUUACAGGUGGGCCUAAGUGAGCUGUUCCAUGCCAGACUGGGACAAACUGAUAGUCCAGAUGAUGAGAGGCUGAAAGAUUUGGCAUCUGACACAGCUCUCAAUGGUCUUCUACUGGAAAGAGUCCAGAAGCCAAGUCCUGGGAUUUUUUCAGAGCAUGAAGUUUUGGGACGUCUGCGCAAAUACAGAGAGGCUUCAGUGUUCCGCCAGGUCGAGAGUCUACUAAAAGAGUCUCCUAAGAGCCUGGAGAUCAACCACCCCAACACUGACCCGUCACUCAAUGAUGGCCCAGAAAGCCAAGACACUGCUUCUCCAUGAACUGACAUUUUAACUUUGAACAGUGCUGCCUUUCUGACAGUGAUGAAUCCAACUUUCAAAGGCAUGUUAUAUGCUGUGAGGCAGCUGGUGGCCUUAUCGUCUUGGAUGGUAAACCUCUAUUUAAUCCAGUUUUAAUGUAGUUUUCGAGAAUAAAGGCAUGUUACAGAAUUUGACCAUGUUGGUAUCUACCUAAUCUGACUAGCUUCUACCAAAUGACACAAAUUUGCACCAAAAUACCAUACAGUUUGAUUGGACGCACAACCUCAGGGUGCAAUUUCUUAAGAAAAAACUAAACAAUACAGGAGGUAGUGAAAAUAUAAUGAAUGAAAUGAAUAUAAUUGAAUGAAAAUAUAAUCUUAAAAUUUUAAGAAAUACAUUUAGACAAUGUACAAAUACGGUGUCAUACAAAAAGAAAAGUC
rnacentral:lncRNA from 1 species